rnacentral:rRNA from 1 species
UACGGGGGGGGCAAGCGUUGUUCGGAAUUACUGGGCGUAAAGCGUGCGUAGGUGGUUUGUUAAGUCCGUUGUGAAAGCCCCGAGCUCAACUUGGGAAUUGCAGUGGAAACUGCCGUGCUGGAGUGUGGGAGAGGUGAGUGGAAUUCCCGGUGUAGCGGUGAAAUGCGUAGAGAUCGGGAGGAACACCUGCGGCGAAAGCGGCUCACUGGACCAUAACUGACGCUGAUGCACGAAAGCUAGGGGAGCAAACAGG